rnacentral:rRNA from 1 species
GCUAUAAUGCAGUCGAGCGAACAGAAGGGAGCUUGCUCCCGGAUGUUAGCGGCGGACGGGUGAGUAACACGUGGGUAACCUGCCUGUAAGACUGGGAUAACUCCGGGAAACCGGAGCUAAUACCGGAUAGUUCCUUGAACCGCAUGGUUCAAGGAUGAAAGACGGUUUCGGCUGUCACUUACAGAUGGACCCGCGGCGCAUUAGCUAGUUGGUGGGGUAAUGGCUCACCAAGGCGACGAUGCGUAGCCGACCUGAGAGGGUGAUCGGCCACACUGGGACUGAGACACGGCCCAGACUCCUACGGGAGGCAGCAGUAGGGAAUCUUCCGCAAUGGACGAAAGUCUGACGGAGCAACGCCGCGUGAGUGAUGAAGGUUUUCGGAUCGUAAAGCUCUGUUGUUAGGGAAGAACAAGUGCGAGAGUAACUGCUCGCACCUUGACGGUACCUAACCAGAAAGCCACGGCUAACUACGUGCCAGCAGCCGCGGUAAUACGUAGGUGGCAAGCGUUGUCCGGAAUUAUUGGGCGUAAAGGGCUCGCAGGCGGUUUCUUAAGUCUGAUGUGAAAGCCCCCGGCUCAACCGGGGAGGGUCAUUGGAAACUGGGAAACUUGAGUGCAGAAGAGGAGAGUGGAAUUCCACGUGUAGCGGUGAAAUGCGUAGAGAUGUGGAGGAACACCAGUGGCGAAGGCGACUCUCUGGUCUGUAACUGACGCUGAGGAGCGAAAGCGUGGGGAGCGAACAGGAUUAGAUACCCUGGUAGUCCACGCCGUAAACGAUGAGUGCUAAGUGUUA